CGUUAAGUGAGAAAUGGGAAAUUCAGGGAAAGUUAGAAGCACUACCGCGUAAUAGUGCACCUACACGUCUUCGUCGACGUUGUUUUUCGACCGGAAGACCGAGAGCUAAUUAUCGAGACUUUGGAUUAUCUAGACACAUACUUCGUGAAAUGGUUCACGAAGGUUUGUUGCCCGGUGCAACAAGAUCGAGUUGGUAA